CCCUAAUACGAUUCGGAAGGGUAUAGCAAAGCCAUCAACCUUUUCUGACCUAACAUUGGGGCAACGUUGGGCCAACGUUAGCAUAAAAAAGUUGCCAACACCGACGGAUGGUCUUGUAAAUAUCAUCAUACCAACGUUGGGCCAAUGUUGUGUAGCCAUCACCAACAAAUGUAUAAGAAUUCAUCUCAACGUACCGACAAUUUGCCAACGUUGGACCAAUGUUGUGCAGCCAACAUCAACGUGCGACCAACGGACCGACAAUUUGCCAACGUUGGGCCAAUGUUGUGCUGCCAACACCAACGGUCGACCAACAGACCGACAAUUUGCCAACG
rnacentral:lncRNA from 1 species